rnacentral:rRNA from 1 species
UACAAAGGGGCCACGUCCCUACGAUGAACCGCUUUCGGGCGGGGAUUAGUGGCGAACGGGUGAGUAACACGUGGGCAAUCUGCCCUGCACUCUGGGACAAGCCCUGGAACGGGGUCUAAUACCGGAUAUGACCGUCUGCCGCAUGGUGGAUGGUGUAAAGCUCCGGCGGUGCAGGAUGAGCCCGCGGCCUAUCAGCUUGUUGGUGAGGUAGUGGCUCACCAGGCGACGACGGGUAGCCGGCCUGAGAGGGCGACCGGCCACACUGGGACUGAGACACGGCCCAGACUCCUACGGGAGGCAGCAGUGGGGAAUAUUGCACAAUGGGCGAAAGCCUGAUGCAGCGACGCCGCGUGAGGGAUGACGGCCUUCGGGUUGUAAACCUCUUUCAGCAGGGAGAAGCGAAAGUGACGGUACCUGCAGAAGAAGCGCCGGCUAACUACGUGCCAGCAGCCGCGGUAAUACGUAGGGCGCAAGCGUUGUCCGGAAUUAUUGGGCGUAAAGAGCUCGUAGGCGGCUUGUCACGUCGGUUGUGAAAGCCCGGGGCUUAACCCCGGGUCUGCAGUCGAUACGGGCAGGCUAGAGUUCGGUAGGGGAGAUCGGAAUUCCUGGUGUAGCGGUGAAAUGCGCAGAUAUCAGGAGAACACCGGUGGCGAAGGCGGAUCUCUGGCCGAUACUGACGCUGAGGAGCGAAAGCGUGGGGAGCGAACAGGAUUAGAUACCCUGGUAGUCCACGCCGUAAACGGUGGGCACUAGGUGUGGGCAACAUUCCACGUUGUCCGUGCCGCAGCUAACGCAUUAAGUGCCCCGCCUGGGGAGUACGGCCGCAAGGCUAAACUCAAAGGAAUUGACGGGGGCCCGCACAAGCGGCGGAGCAUGUGGCUUAAUUCGACGCAACGCGAAGAACCUUACCAAGGCUUACAUACACCGGAAACGUCUGGAGACAGGCGCCCCCUUGUGGUCGGUGUACAGGUGGUGCAUGGCUGUCGUCAGCUCGUGUCGUGAGUGUUGGGUUAAGUCCCGCAACGAGCGCAACCCUUGUCCGUGUUGCCAGCAGGCCCUUGUGGUGCUGGGGACUCACGGGAGACCGCCGGGGUCAACUCGGAGGAAGGUGGGGACGACGUCAAGUCAUCAUGCCCCUUAUGUCUUGGGCUGCACACGUGCUACAAUGGCCGGUACAAUGAGCUGCGAUACCGUGAGGUGGAGCGAAUCUCAAAAAGCCGGUCUCAGUUCGGAUUGGGGUCUGCAACUCGACCCCAUGAAGUCGGAGUCGCUAGUAAUCGCAGAUCAGCAUUGCUGCGGUGAAUACGUUCCCGGGCCUUGUACACACCGCCCGUCACGUCACGAAAGUCGGUAACACCCGAAGCCGGUGGCCCAACCCCUUGUGGGAGGGAGCUGUCGAAGGUGGGACUGGCGAGUGCGACGAAGUCGUACGCAAG